rnacentral:tRNA from 1 species
GCCGGAUUAGCUCAUUUGGUGUAGAGCGGCGCUCUUGUAAAGCGCAGGCGAUCGGUUCGAAACCGAUAUCCGGCUC